CAAGUCGAGCGAAUGGAUUAAGAGCUUGCUCUUAUGAAGUUAGCGGCGGACGGGUGAGUAACACGUGGGUAACCUGCCCAUAAGACUGGGAUAACUCCGGGAAACCGGGGCUAAUACCGGAUAACAUUUUGAACUGCAUGGUUCGAAAUUGAAAGGCGGCUUCGGCUGUCACUUAUGGAUGGACCCGCGUCGCAUUAGCUAGUUGGUGAGGUAACGGCUCACCAAGGCAACGAUGCGUAGCCGACCUGAGAGGGUGAUCGGCCACACUGGGACUGAGACACGGCCCAGACUCCUACGGGAGGCAGCAGUAGGGAAUCUUCCGCAAUGGACGAAAGUCUGACGGAGCAACGCCGCGUGAGUGAUGAAGGCUUUCGGGUCGUAAAACUCUGUUGUUAGGGAAGAACAAGUGCUAGUUGAAUAAGCUGGCACCUUGACGGUACCUAACCAGAAAGCCACGGCUAACUACGUGCCAGCAGCCGCGGUAAUACGUAGGUGGCAAGCGUUAUCCGGAAUUAUUGGGCGUAAAGCGCGCGCAGGUGGUUUCUUAAGUCUGAUGUGA
rnacentral:rRNA from 1 species